rnacentral:rRNA from 1 species
CGGACGGGUGAGUAAUGUCUGGGAAACUGCCUGAUGGAGGGGGAUAACUACUGGAAACGGUAGCUAAUACCGCAUAACGUCGCAAGACCAAAGAGGGGGACCUUCGGGCCUCUUGCCAUCGGAUGUGCCCAGAUGGGAUUAGCUAGUAGGUGGGGUAACGGCUCACCUAGCGACGAUCCCUAGCUGGUCUGAGAGGAUGACCAGCCACACUGGAACUGAGACACGGUCCAG